CUUGACCGAGAGAGUGAGUGCAAGUAGACCAGUAUCUUCAUAUUCUAAAGGGCUGACCUCAAACUGGUUAACUCAGGCAGAAGAUGAGUUCUCAGGCAUCCCAACUGUAUCAAAUGCACAGGCAAUGCAGUGUCAUUAGCCAUGAGACAAGAAAGACAAGUUGAAACCCGAGACAUGAUCACAUGCAUGCUUUCCAAACUCUCUGACCAAUGCAAAGCUCAACUAGCAAGGGUUACAUUGUCCAUACCCAGCAGAAUUCCUAUCCCAAAGAAAGUAAAGGAGAUGAGACUUGUAUCAUAAACAUCAAGGCACCUAAGGUGCGACAACUUCGCACGUGCAAGUGUUUCGGCUUAAGUGAUUGGCC